GUCAUCAGGUGUAGACACUCACCAGCGUUUUUGUUGACCUCCGUGGAAUAAGCAGGUAUCCCAGCAUACCUGAGGAAGCCUCUCCGGUAAUCAAGCAAACUCCACUGCCCUCCAAGCAGGUCUCCUUCCCCGCGGUGUGCUCUGGCGUUCCCCGACCCCCCCUCCAAGCAGGUCUCCUUCCCCGCGGUGUGCUCUGGCGUUCCCCGACCCCCCCUCCAAGCAGGUCUCCUUCCCCGCGGUGUGCUCUGGCGUUCCCCGACCCCCCCUCCAAGCAGGUCUCCUUCCCCGCGGUGUGCUCUGGCGUUCCCCGACCCCCUCUCCAAGCAGGUCUCCUUCCCCGCGGUGUGCUCUGGCGUUCCCCGACCCCCCCUCCAAGCAGGUAUCCAGCCCCGCGGUGUGCUCUGGCGUUCCCCGACCCCCCCUCCAAGCAGGUCUCCUUCCCCGCGGUGUGCAACAGCGCUGCAGCGUGGCCACAUCUAACACCACUUGCAGCGCUGGUUGCUGUAAGUGUGGCCACUCUGCAGCGCUGGCCCUAUACAGCUGUACUAAUACAGCUGUAACAACCAGCGCUGCAAAAUUGUAGAUGUAGACAUACC